CAGUCGCCGCGGGAAUACAGAGGGUGCAAGCGUUAAUCGGAAUUACUGGGCGUAAAGCGUGCGUAGGCGGCUUUUUAAGUCGGAUGUGAAAUCCCUGAGCUUAACUUAGGAAUUGCAUUCGAUACUGGGAAGCUAGAGUAUGGGAGAGGAUGGUAGAAUUCCAGGUGUAGCGGUGAAAUGCGUAGAGAUCUGGAGGAAUACCGAUGGCGAAGGCAGCCAUCUGGCCUAAUACUGACGCUGAGGUACGAAAGCAUGGGGAGCAAACAGGAUUAGAUACCCCAGUAGUCCCUGUCUCUUAUAC
rnacentral:rRNA from 1 species